GCAGCGGUUGUUCAGUGGUAGAAUUCUCACCUUCUGUGUGGGAGAUCCUGGUUCAAUUCCUGGCCGGUGCA
rnacentral:tRNA from 1 species